rnacentral:rRNA from 1 species
AGAGCUUGCUCUUUUAUUAAUUUCAGUGGCAAACGGGUGAGUAACACGUAAACAACCUGCCUUAAGGAUGGGGAUAACAGACGGAAACGACUGCUAAUACCGAAUACGUUCUAAGCAUCGCAUGGUGCAUAGAAGAAAGGGUGGCCUCUACAAGAAAGCUAUCGCCUUAAGAGGGGUUUGCGACUGAUUAGGUAGUUGGUGAGGUAACGGCUCACCAAGCCGACGAUCAGUAGCCGGUCUGAGAGGAUGAACGGCCACACUGGAACUGAGACACGGUCCAGACUCCUACGGGAGGCAGCAGUGGGGAAUCUUCCGCAAUGGACGAAAGUCUGACGGAGCAACGCCGCGUGAACGAAGAAGGUCUUCGGAUUGUAAAGUUCUGUGAUUCGGGACGAAAGGGUUUGUGGUGAAUAAUCAUAGACAUUGACGGUACCGAAAAAGCAAGCCACGGCUAACUACGUGCCAGCAGCCGCGGUAAUACGUAGGUGGCAAGCGUUGUCCGGAAUUAUUGGGCGUAAAGCGCGCGCAGGCGGUUUCUUAAGUCCAUCUUAAAAGCGUGGGGCUCAACCCCAUGAGGGGAUGGAAACUGGGAAGCUGGAGUAUCGGAGAGGAAAGUGGAAUUCCUAGUGUAGCGGUGAAAUGCGUAGAGAUUAGGAAGAACACCG